AAUGAAAAGGAUUACAGGCCUGCGAAAGGAUGAGAUAUUAUCAGUUUGUAAUCCAGCCCAUGGUUUCCUAGCUACCGUAUUGUCUAUUCUGUCCCGCUAUGUGAAAAAUGUUGAAUAUCAACAAUGGGUUUCGGUGCUGUAUUGUUGAGUUUUGUAUGAACUAAUCUUGCUUCACUAAAAAAGACCUACAGCUUGGACAAAAGUCUAUAGCCAGUGCAUUCCUAGCUCCCCUUACACUAAAGCAGGCUGAGGCAGAGGGGAAGACAUGUUAGUCUUGUGCUCUUCUAGUUGCUAAAGCGCAGAGCUGCCGGGCUGUGGGAGUCAUGAGGCGGCCUUGCUUCACUCAAUAUGGGCUCUGGGCUUAGGGGGAGACCACCAUGGAUGUGUCUGCAGGUCUAGGCCCUAAGAGCAGUGCGGGGAAAAGGGGUAGCUAGCAAAGGACCAGCGUUCAGCGAGGAGCAUGAGCGGCAGUACGCUGAAGUAGGAGCACUGGCUCUUGUAAAAACUCUGCGGACUAGGGGGCUAGUAAAGAGGGAGAGAUGCCCAGAGAGCAUACAGCUGUUUCGGUCGAGCGAGAGAGAGUUCUCCGGCGGCUGAAGAGUGGUUCUUGAAUCGGACAGAUGAUGUUCCAUCCUCUUUUCUGCCAAUCACCCAAAGAUGAGGACAACACCCAAACUGGCACGAGCUAUGCGCCUAAGGAUUACGAAGGACUACCGUGCAAAGUUUGUUGCCUGUAAACCAAUGCUUUGAGGUGAAGAUUAUUCGCCCAAAAUGUUCAAGAUUCUCACCAAGGAUAACAGCACUGUAUAAGAAGAGGACCCAAUGGUUCCAAAAGGCCUGGUUUUGCUCUACGGCCGUCCGCCCAGUCUGCCGCAGCUAUUUGGACAGCAACAGGUGAAAAGGUGAGAGGAGAUUGCUGAAAUCCAUAUGACCAAGACGACACGUCUGCCCAGGAGAUGGAUACCUCACCAGAUAUGGAAUGCAGUGAUCUGGGAUCUUUCUUGACUUCAAAACAUCGUUGGGAGCAUGGGAACACAUCUGCCUCUCACAGGGCAGCCAUCACUCAGGUCAGAGAGGAUAUGCAGGACUUCUAAGGGAGAAUCUGGUGGAGUAGAGGCCAACUCCAUCUGUCGGGAGAGUUUGUUCCAGCCGUGCGCCUGGCCGCACUGACGGGAUUUGAGCCCACAUGUUUGGGCCACGAGGUUGGGAGGACAGAGCAGAGAGGGACAGGGGGGGCAGAGGGGGUAGAGGGGCACUCUGGCUUCCUCCCACAGACCCCAGCAUGGUGCUACUGGAGGCCGGUAGCUGGAGGAGUGGCCCGGGCUCCAGGCCUUUGUCACUGGGGGGGUGAGAGGAUGGGGGAGUGGGGGAAUACUGGGACCCUGCAGGGAAGGAAGCACAUAUACCCUCCUCCUCUUCUAACAACAGCAGGGGGAAAAGCACAUUACAUGCUUGCAAGUCUACCCUCUACUAUUUUUGUAUUUACUGAAUCUUGCAGGGAGAUUGGUUCCUCCUCUCUUACUUUAAAAACUUUUGAUGCUCUUGUAUGGACAUGAAACACCCACAUACACACACACAUUCAAGAUAAGAUAAAUAACAUAAUGCCUUAUGUGCAGCCAGGCAGUUUAAUCAAAAGUAUUUGUUUUUUAUAAAUAUGUUUUUAUGUAAGGCUAUGACAUCUCUAGUUCAGAUUUUCUCCUGUCUUUCCCCUCUAGUUUUCCCUGCCAUGGUUGUGAUAAUUGGAUUUUCUGGACACCUGUAUGAGUGCAGUAUAUCCAGCGGAUUAUAACCAGGGAAAGGGAUAGGCUGCCCUACCGGCCAGGCCCAGCCAGCAGGAACUUCCCAUGGUCACCUCCGCUCUGCUCCGAGGGACUGAGAAUCCUAAUGAGCUGGAGGGGUCCACAUUUACCACGGCUGAUUAACUGAGAACAAUGAGGCCAAACAGAACUCACAGGCACUCACAAUAGUGACUAGAGAGCCUCAAGGCGUUGUCUCUGUAUUUUUUUGAGGGGAAAGAAAAUGAGAGAGUGAGCGAAAUAGGAGAAUGGAGGGGGGGAAAGUGAACAAGACUGUAGUUUUGUAAUGCUUUGUUUUAUUUGUUUAGAGGAAAGAAGCGAUACAUUGAAUACUUAUUGUCACUAUAAUAUAUCCAUGAGGCCAUAUAUGUCCAUAGGCAGCACAUUGUAUUAGUUCCUGUUAAAAAGGUGGGGUAUAAAGUUGGAGUUUGGACUACAGCUUAUGUAAUGAUGUUUAAAUUAUAUUUAUAGCAUGCUAAAAAAGCAGUUGCAUCAUUAGUCAUUUCCUCAUGCAAAUGAAGCCUAGCUAUUUGCCUACAUAGGCCUGCUAUGUGCAGUGAGACCUAGCUACAUCCCCUCACAGGGGCCUAGUGAAUGAGGGUUGUUCUGACAGCUAGUGAGUGUCAUUUAAACCCAGCCAACCUCCACCGAUUACCAUCUACACAUUUAUGGAGAAUAUGAGCAUUAUAUGGUACCAUUUCAAUUAAUAACCCCUUUUUCACUGACUGAAUGCUUUGUAAUCUCGACUAUGCAAUUAGUUUAGAAUGGCUAAGAGAUCAACUUCAUUAGCAUUUUUUGUACUGAAGGUGCCGGCUUGGGCCAAAUGUUCGUUCUCAGUGGAAAGCGUAUCUCUUUGGAAAAGCUGUUCUAAAUUAGUUUCUGUAUCAGUUAAAGACUAUUUCCUCUCUGCUUUAAACUUGGGUGUGAUAGAGGAACCUCUGGAAUAUUUAUGGAGGGGAAAAUAAAUCCAGAAAGACAAUUUUGCCGUUUGGUUACAUGUUCUGCCUUCCCUUCUUGUGUUUUUCCAAUUACUUAAUGCUAUUUAAAUAUAGCAGAGCCGACACAUGCAGUUCACUGUAGUGGGGCCUGAAAUAAGUCACGCUUUAAUUGUAUUUCAUAAAUGAUAAUAGGAGCCCAUCACAGUAAGCUAGCUGUAAUAAAAUGAUAAAAUGGACAAUUAUGAAAAAAUCCAGGCCCUUAAUUUUCUAAACACACUCCAGAGAGCGUCUUUAAGCCGGGCAUAUUUGACUAGAUGCUGAACAGUAUUCCCCUCUGUGAGGGCUGCUGAAGUGCUGUGAAUUACAGUAGAAGUGUUUUGUAUGUUGUACAGUAACGUGUAGUACUACAAACUGUAGUGCCACUUCAUGAAAUACUAUUUUUCCAAUUGUCUGCAGGGAAAGGUUUAUAUUCAUUAUAUUCCCUUAUGUAUAUAAGGCCAACUCAAAUAAACCAUACGCCAUACAGUACAAUAUGUGUGCUGAAGGCAGGCCUGAAUGUAGACACAACCAGGGUCUGUAAAUCAGUCAUUUCCCCAUCAUUGCAGGAAGGAUAUGGCUGGUUUGUGGUCCCCGGUCAGCCAGUGGGUCAGACAGAGAUAACACCUCUCUCUUUAAGAGGCUCUCAAAUUCCCAAUCAGUGUUUGACUUGGGAGACAGGUGAUUACUCACACCUGGGUACCUGGCCUCUUUCUGCACCUGGACUCCACCCCACCCUGUGCCAAGCAUGAUCCAUCGGUGAGGCAGCAUGUGCCAUGUGAUGACACGCCACCUGCUGGUGGGGUGGGGUGGGGCAAACCCGCUGCUUGCUGUCCCGAUCAAUCAAUUAAAUAUUUUUAAUAAGAACAAAUUCUUAUUUUCAAUGACAGGCUAGGAACAGUGGAUUAACUGCCUUGUUCAGGGGCAGAACAACAGAUUUUUACCUUGUCAGCUCGGGGAUUCGAUCUUGCAACCUUUCGGUUACAAGUCCAAUGCUCUAACCAUUAGGCUACCUGCCACCACUUUAAACUAAAAAAGAAAACACAAGAAAAGGGAAAUAAAAUAUUACUCAUCACUAAAAGUACAUCUGAAAGGCAUUAUGACAGAUUUUUACCUGCACAUAAAGCAGGGAAAAGCAUGAAUUUACACAAGGUAAAAUAUAAGGACAGGCAAUGAAUCCCUUUUAUCCAGAUAAAUGAAUGACUGUACAUUGCUUUUACUUGGAGGGCAUCAAGACCUCAACCAUGAAAUCCUAUGGUGCAGUAUACCUGUAACAUGUCUCUUUCCCAGGUGUCUUUCUGACGUUCUUGAUGCACAUCCAAUGAUGAGUGGGUGAUGGAGGUCCCUCUGCUGUAACCCUGACCUCCAGAGCAUAAUGACCGCUCCAAAGACAGGACCUAAGGAAAGAUGAGUCAAAUGAAACACAUCUUGACACCACUGCUUCUGCCGCAAACAUGAUGGCAUGAUCUGUCUCUGUAAAGACAAAAACAAUGUACCUGUUGUGCAAUUCUCAUAUGGUUGGAUCAUAUGGUUCAUUUUGAAACGGUUAAACUGAAACAGUGAAACUUUUGACCAAUAGAGGCUACGCUGCUUAUGAUAUGAACUGUAUUGUCCGUUGAUGUAUUAUAUUUCAUGAUGUUACAUAUCUUCAAUAAAUGUAUUGGUGUCUUUGAUAUAAAUAUUGAGCAUUACAAUAUUUGGAAACUGGGGUAGGGAGUUCACAAUCAGAGCAGGGGAAGGUAAUUGCAGGUUUUUGUUCCAGCCCUCCAGGACAGAGAAUACCCCCGUACACACACCAUUUGCCACUGUAGGUUUAGAGAUCUACAGAUGGCCUCUGUAAAUAUCUGAAUAAGGCUAGCCUCUACCGUGUAAAUGAUAACUCAAUUUCUGGUCAUAAUUGAUCUAAAUACAGAACAUUGUGGGGUAACUCUAUCCUCCAGUAUGGUGUGUGUUAUCGUAUAUUGUUCAUGUUGUAUCACUGCAACCCUCAGGUGAUGAAACGGUCUCUGUCACAUUAGCUGCCCUCUCUCGCUCUACUUUUUCUCGAAGCUCCCAGGCCAGCUUUCAGCCAUGGAUAUUCAUCCCCCUUUAUUUAAAACAGACGUGUUCCACUGGCUACCAGUCAUUCAUCACUGACAACUAGAGUGGGUAUGUGUGGCCAUUUAGACUUAUUGAUUAGCCAUAUCAUUCACAGAUCUCUCUCUCAAGUAUUUACUGUGUACAUCAGCAAACAGGAACCACACAGUAAGUGGAUAUACCUCCUCACUCACACUUGAAAAUCCUCUGAGAAGAACCCAAGCCGGAAGCGUUUUCUCUGGGCGUGUCAAGUCCAGCCCAGGAGAUGGUCAGCAUCAUGACACUAAGGAAGACCCUUGAGAGAACCAAUCGAAGGCCCAUCUGUGUUCAGCGCAGAGUGAAUCCUGUGUUUCCAGGUUUAAACUGAACGUUAUUAAAACAAGUGGGCUGAAAGGUCAGGAGAGAGCAGCCCACAAAAACAAACAAUUCAUUUGGCAUGGAGGUGUAAUGGGAUGAGAUGUGGACUGGGGUCGGGCCUAUUGUUCUGCUGGAAUUAACCGUGGCAGGUCAUGUGUCACUGGGCACUGACCCCGGCCCCAUUCAGGAGCCCAAACUCUGCAUUAGCCAUGGCCCAAAGAGAGGUCAAACAUAGUCACAAACCGGGCACACACACAGCCAGUUCUGACCAGGGCAGCACUUACAAAACAAAGAGGGGUAUUACCAUGCGGUGGUUGUGACACUGGCGGCAUCAAAGGCUUUGUGACUCAUCCUUCGGCCUGAAUCUGUUGGACUGGUGCAUAUUGGAGGCAUUAAGCAUGAACGACAUGCACCUAAAUACUCCUAUUUCAUCUGUGCAAAGUGUGUGAGCCGGAGGUGACUCCACUCCCCAAUCCCACAUCCAUACCUGGCUGAGGUGCAGAGUUGGAAUGAGAGUACAGAGUACAGAGUGAGUCAGAAGAGUGGGUUUGGUUCCCGUGGGGCCUGCUUGGGCAUACACUCAGACCACCCAUCAGGAUUGCUUUGUGAGGUCUAGUCUGCAUGCUUCUUUUCCUCUCUGCAGCGUGUCAGUCUUCUUGCAUGUGAAGCCAAUCGCUCGGCUGUUGUAGGCAUUUCCAUUUCCACCUGACAGAUGCCUGGUGGAACAGUGGCAUGUUGUAAAAACAUCUGAUCCUUUUGCUGCAGGCUACAGAUACUGCUAAUUGAAAAACGCCUAUUCCAAUAUUACUGUUGCACAGUGCAAUCACAUUCUAUCAUUUCUCAAGACUUGGCUGCUUUGCCUCGUUUCACUGACAUUCCUCUUCUGUCCACUCGAGCGUAUAAUCACAACAUAUUUAUUGAUUAGAGGACAAACAGUAGCUAGCUCAACUGGACGGUAAACUCCUUUGUUUUAUUCCUAUUCAGCAUGGUGGCAGCAGUACUUCUCCCAGGUAGCUAGAUGACAGCCAGCCACAGCUAAAGCAGGCCUUUGCUCCAACAUGGCUCUGCUGUCUCUGCCCUAAUUGAUUGGAAGGGGAAAGGCAGAACAGCUGCCCCAAAGCACAGAGCCAGAAUUAAAACUUCAAUCCCACUCCCGAACACUCAAUUUCAUCCAUGAUCCAGCAUUAUACAAAUGAGUUGAGAACAGACAGCCAGGUGUAUGGUUCCCCAGUAGGGUCCCUGGACCCACUGGCCUCAGAACCACAAACUGCUCCCCUCUCUCUCCCAGCAGCACCAGGCCCUCUGUGCUCCUUCUGUGCUCCCUCUGUGCUCCCUACCCUCCUACAGACAGCCCCCAGCCAAAACUACAACAGGCCAAUUCUAGAUUUUAGGGGAUCCAUUCACAGCACUUUUAAUUUAGGUAAGAAUCAACAAGAGGGUGUAACACUUAAAUCAUCAUCAGCCCAGUAGCUUUGCCUGCCAUUUCUUGGCCCUCCUCCACACACAUACAUUAACCAGAAUAUACUAUACAAUUUGUAGAAAUACUAGCCUACCAAUAAGUAGUAAGUACACA